ensembl:lncRNA
CAGAGUCAAUGUGGAGGCUAUAUACAGGGAGUACCGGUACAGAGUCAAUGUGGAGGCUAUAUACAGGGAGUAAAGGUACAGAGUCAAUGUGGAGGCUAUAUACAGGGAGUAAAGGUACAGAGUCAAUGUGGAGGCUAUAUACAGGGAGUAAAGGUACAGAGUCAAUGUGGAGGCUAUAUACAGGGAGUAAAGGUACAGAGUCAAUGUGGAGGCUAUAUACCGGGAGUAAAGGUACAGAGUCAAUGUGGAGGCUAUAUGCAGGGAGUACCGGUACAGAGUCAAUGUGGAAGCUAUAUACAGGG